CUUUUUCUCCUGUUUCUCUGGGAGUAGUUUCCCUCCACCUGUGAGACUACAAGUCUCUAUACCCCAUUAAGGGAAGGACAGUAGGCUGAUCCCGUUGGCAGGCCGAGGGAAGGAAACGGAUCUAGCCUAGAUUCUGAGACUUCAAUGUAUAGAUAACAAUUGAAAACCGUGGCUUGUUUGUGAAGUAGAAAAUGAAGCAAUGACAUUAGAUGAUUCCAAAAAGAAGAUUAAUCAAAGUGGAGAAAAGGACAAGAGAAAAAUGAGAAAAAGCCACAUUUUAAAAGGUUUUUGAGAAGGAAGUUGUUAAGUCACAAACACUCUGGUGACUCUGAGAACUGAAAAGUGUCCAUUGGAUUUUCCAAUAACGGAAAGGAAUAGGAACAAAGGCAUUGGCAUCGGCAGUGAUUCAGAACCCACAGAGUGGUGCAUUUCACUUUUAUGAUUACUUUCCCCAGACUAAGAAGAGUGUGCAGAUGGCGGAAGGACUGACAUUACAAAUUUCCAUUAUGCUACAUCACAGAUUAUUUUUAAAAACGUAGCAUUAAAAGAAAUACUUUGGGGGCCGGCUCUGUGGCCGAGUGGUUAAGUUCGUGCGCUCCGCUGCGGUGGCCCAGGGUUUGGAUCCUGGGCGUGGACAUGGCACUGCUCGUCAGGCCACAUUGAGGCGGCGUCCCACAUCCCACAACCAGAAGGACGUGCAACUAAGAUAUACAACUGUGUACAGGGGCGGGGUGGGGAGAUAAAAGCAGAAAAAAAAAAAAAAAAAAAAGAUUGGCAACAGUUGUUAGCCCAGGUGCCAAUCUUAAAAAAAAAAAAAAAUACUUUGGUAAAUGUAUCUGAUGGCUAGCAUGUGUUCAACAAACAUCACUUGCAUGGUUCUUUUUCCUGGUUACCCAUUCACAUUUUCACAUAUAGAAUGAGGAUUGCUAUUUGCAUGUUAACUAUGAGAACACUGAGAUAAAUAUUGAGGUUUUGACCAAGGUCACAGGGGAAAUUGAUGCCAGAGCUAGGCAAGAGCUCCAGCUUCUGAGGAGUAUAUGCCAAGAAGAGGGAGAAAGAUAAAAAAAAGUUUUGUGUGUUUUUCCUACUCAAGGUCAGUAGAGAAGGAAUUACCUUCUUUCUUAUUGGAUUUGAAUUCAGAUUAAGUUCUUUAAUUUCCGUCUUUGUCCCCAGUGUUUAUUCAGUUGAGUCCCAGAUUUCUUGUAAUGAAUAGGAUAGCAGGACAGCAAGAAGAGAGGGUUAAUAUUCAGACAUAAUGUGCCACUGACUGCUGCGUGAGCCACAGUUUUGGCUCAUAGGUGUACUUGAAAACCCCCAGAUUCCAUCUGUUUCCUUCAUUGCCUUAGGAGUUUGGAGUUAAUUGAUAAAGCUCGGCUCAACCUACCAUUUUUGAAGAAUACUUAAUUUUUUUCUGGUAUUUAAAAAUUCCAAAUAGCUUAAAGACUAAGUAUGGAAGUAAAA
rnacentral:lncRNA from 1 species